rnacentral:lncRNA from 1 species
AACGUUCGGUACAGCAUCUGGACAAACCUUAUGGUGUCUUUUUACAGCAUAUGGUGACUGACAAGUAUUUUUUAGUCUUUCUGUUUAUUUAUUUUUAGGAAUAAUGCACGUUAUCUCUGGAAAAGAAUCCCUCCUGCUAUCAAAUCUGUAAGUACUGGGCCAAAUUUACCUCAGAAACCUGCUGCUUUUGUUGCACAGCAAUGCUCUCUGAAAGCCUGGGGGUGGAAAUGGGUUUAUGCAUAAGCGUUUUCUCCUGGAUUCAUACUGGCAUUUGUUUUGGGUUUUUGUUUUUUGGUCACAACAGGCAAAUGCUGAACUCGGUGCAGUUCGCUCAGUGGGACAAAGAAUCUGGCAGAGGGACUUCCCAGGAAUCUACGCAGCAAUCAGCGGUCUGAGACUAUCCAGCCAAUCAUGGAAGCACUCAGAGAUGCGAGCAGGAGACGAGCCUUUGGACUGGUUUCCCAGGCUUACACGUCAAUAGUUGCAGAGGAUUUUUCAGCCUUUGUUGGCCUUCCUGUAGAAGAAGCUGUGAAAGGUGUGCUGGAACAGGGCUGGCAAGCAGACUUUGCAACUCGCAUGGUGACGCCUAAAAAGCCAGGUAGGUGGAGCUGUUAUUUCAUGAAACAUUCAGCAUUUUCUAGGAAUUAGGUGUGAAGUUUUUAAUUAUAGCUUUGCACAGGAUUCUCUUCGAUACUUUUGGACACUCAUGCUGCUCAUCAACACAGGGCAUGUGUAAAAUGUGAGGAAGCACAAAGUGGUGGGUUUGGUUUGGACCUACAACAAGUAGUUUGGAUUAAGCUAAAGCCUCCCAUUAACUUGUUUAAACAAAAGCCGACAGGAUAUGCUGUGAUUGCUCCCUCUUCUCCUCUGCUGCUGGCUCUGCCUCUCUGCAACACAAGCUGGGUGACCUCAACGAUGUGUCACAACCUAAUAAAGAUGAGUGAAAAAUAGACCA